UGUUGACCUCGGAUCAGGUAGGAAUACCCGCUGAACUUAAGCAUAUCAAAAA
rnacentral:rRNA from 1 species